UACGUAGGGGGCAAGCGUUGUCCGGAAUCAUUGGGCGUAAAGAGCGUGUAGGCGGCCCGAUAAGUCCGCUGUGAAAGUCCAGGGCUCAACCCUGGAAUGCCGGUGGAUACUGUCGGGCUCGAAUCCGGAAGAGGUGAGUGGAAUUCCUGGUGUAGCGGUGAAAUGCGCAGAUAUCAGGAAGAACACCCGUGGCUAAGGCGGCUCUCUAGUACGGUACUGACGCUGAGACGCGAAAGCGUGGGGAGCAAACAGG
rnacentral:rRNA from 1 species